rnacentral:rRNA from 1 species
CUACGGGAGGCAGCAGUGGGGAAUCUUAGACAAUGGGGGAAACCCUGAUCUAGCCAUGCCGCGUGAGCGACGACGGCCCUAGGGUUGUAAAGCUCUUUCAGCAGGGAAGAUAAUGACGGUACCUGCAGAAGAAGUCCCGGCUAACUCCGUGCCAGCAGCCGCGGUAAUACGGAGGGGACUAGCGUUGUUCGGAAUUACUGGGCGUAAAGCGCGCGUAGGCGGAUUGUUAAGUCGGGGGUGAAAUCCCGGGGCUCAACCCCGGAACGGCCCACGAUACUGGCAGUCUUGAGGUCGAGAGAGGUGAGUGGAAUUCCGGGUGUAGAGGUGAAAUUCGUAGAUAUUCGGAGGAACACCAGUGGCGAAGGCGGCUCACUGGCUCGAUACUGACGCUGUGGUGCGAAAGCGUGGGGAGCAAACAGGAUAAGAUACCCGAGUAGUC